CGGGCCGCCCGACCCGCCGCUGUACCCCCUCGCGGGGUGCAGAGGAAAGUCCGGACUCGCGAGGACCGGUUGCCCCGAGGGCAACCGGUCCGGAAAGGCCGCCUGGGCUAAUAACCCAGGGGGCGGCGCGGCGCAAGCCCGCCGUCACGUCAAGUGCAACAGAGAGCAGACCAGCCGAUGGCCGGGGCCUCUGGCUCCGGCACAGGUGAUGGGUGAAAGGGUGGGGUAAGAGCCCACCGGCGGUACCCCGUAAGGGGGCCGGCCAGGUAAACUACCGGUGCGAGCAAGCCAAAUUUGCCCGGGGAGACCCCGGGCAUGGUAGGCGCGGCCCCUCACAGAGGGGCCCGGGGGGCGGCGAGGCCCCCCGGAGAUGGAUGGCGGGAUAGAACAGAAUCCGGCUUACGGGGCGGCCCGGCCG
rfam:Rubrobacter xylanophilus DSM 9941, complete genome.